CAGCCGCCGCGGGAAAACAGAGGGUGCGAGCGUUAAUCGGAUUUACUGGGCGUAAAGCGUGCGUAGGCGGCUUUUUAAGUCGGAUGUGAAAUCCCUGAGCUUAACUUAGGAAUUGCAUUCGAUACUGGGAAGCUAGAGUAUGGGAGAGGAUGGUAGAAUUCCAGGUGUAGCGGUGAAAUGCGUAGAGAUCUGGAGGAAUACCGAUGGCGAAGGCAGCCAUCUGGCCUAAUACUGACGCUGAGGUACGAAAGCAUGGGGAGCAAACAGGAUUAGAUACCCCAGUAGUCCCUGUCUCUUAUAA
rnacentral:rRNA from 1 species